UCUCUACCUCGUCUGCCUGCUAAGCAACCUCUUGGGGAGAUGUGGGCACUCCUGAGUCACUGAACUUGAGCUAUUUGGUGUUGGGAGCUUAUAGCUUCAUUGCACUGUGUGUGGCAUUUGGGUCCUGUUUGGCAGCAAUGACUGCCUUUCUGUUUAGUGUCUGUGUGCUAUGAAGAUUGCACACAGGGGUCCAAAUGCAUCCUGUUUUGAGAAUGUCAAUGGAUACACCAGUUGCUGCUUUGGAUUUCACUGGUUGGUGGUAGUUGACCCACUGUUUGGAAUGCAGCCAAUUUAAGUGAAGACAUAUCCAUAUAUGUGGCUCUGUUACAGUGGUGAAAUCUGCAACCAUAAGAAGGUGCAGUACCAGUUUGAAUUUGAAUACCAGACCAAAGUGGAUGGUGAGAUAAUCCUUCAUCUUUAUGACAAAGGAGGAAUUGAGCAAACAAUUUGUAUGUUGGAUGGUGUGUUUGCAUUUCUUUUACUGGAUUCUGCCAAUAAGAAAGUGUCCCUGGACAGAGAUACGUAAGGAGUCAGACCUUUGUUUAAAGCAGUGACAGAAGAUGGAUUUUUGGCUGUGCGUUCAGAAGCUAAAGCUCUGCGACUGUGGUGCCUGCAGCCAUUGGAACCAGCUCUGCACGGCUCAGACCUGGGUGAUGAGGACACAGCUUUGCAGCAGCUCCUGAAUGUUCCGGAUGGGCUCAGCUUCCUGAGGGAGGAGACGCCCUGAGCACCAGAUCCGGUCCUUGGUGAGGAUCCCAGGAGGCCCAGCUGCUGAAGGCCUUGGUCAACACCUGAGCAACCAGAAAUAGUUGAAUGCCGGGCCUGAGCUCUGACUGUGCAAGUUCUGCUCUCUCACUGGGUUUAUCCUGGGCUUUUGGGCAUUCUCCUUGGUGCGUUGUA